GUGGGGGAUAUUGCACAAUGGAGGAAACUCUGAUGCAGCGACGCCGCGUGAGUGAAGAAGUAUUUCGGUAUGUAAAGCUCUAUCAGCAGGGAAGAAAAUGACGGUACCUGACUAAGAAGCCCCGGCUAACUACGUGCCAGCAGCCGCGGUAAUACGUAGGGGGCAAGCGUUAUCCGGAUUUACUGGGUGUAAAGGGAGCGUAGACGGCGAUGCAAGUCUGAAGUGAAAUACCCGGGCUCAACCUGGGAACUGCUUUGGAAACUGUAUGGCUAGAAUGCUGGAGAGGUAAGCGGAAUUCCUAGUGUAGCAGUGAAAUGCGUAGAUAUUAGGAAGAACACCAGUGGCGAAGGCGGCUUACUGGACAGUAACUGACGUUCAGGCUCGAAAGCGUGGGGAGCAAACAGGAUUAGAAACCCCGGUAGUCC
rnacentral:rRNA from 1 species